rnacentral:rRNA from 1 species
CAGUCGCCACGGUAAUACGAAGGGGGCUAGCGUUGCUCGGAAUCACUGGGCGUAAAGGGUGCGUAGGCGGGUCUUUAAGUCAGGGGUGAAAUCCUGGAGCUCAACUCCAGAACUGCCUUUGAUACUGAAGAUCUCGAGUAUGGGAGAGGUGAGUGGAACUGCGAGUGUAGAGGUGAAAUUCGUAGAUAUUCGCAAGAACACCAGUGGCGAAGGCGGCUCACUGGCCCAUAACUGACGCUGAGGCACGAAAGCGUGGGGAGCAAACAGGAUUAGAUACCCGCGUAGUCCCUGUCUCUUAUAC